CAGGCUGUGCCCUCAUGUUGGUCUAGAGGAAAAUAAGGAGCAGGAGGCUAAGCCAAGAACAUGUGUGGAGACUGGCACCAUGAAAAUACUGCAAAUUCCUGCUCCGAUCCCCUCUGCUUUUUGUAUGCCCAUUCUAGGCAAUGUGACAAUGUGUUUUCUUGCUGGGUAUAUCACCCCUGGAGACAGAAUGUCCUCUGGGCCUCCUCCAAUAGGAGGAUGAUUUGUUGGUUUAGCAAUCAUUGACUCAUCCUUAUUUUUUUUAACGCAAAUUAAAGUUGGCAGCAAAGCAACCUCAUGUUGUUCAGUGGCAGCUCCUUGGCAUCUCCUUGUUCUCCCUGGUUAGGUCCCCUAUGCCAACCAACACAUGAACUUCAGCAGUUGUUUGGAGUGCUUCAUCUGGCUUGUAAUCUGUCAUAUGUUCCCAGAGAUGUACUGGCAGGUAGCUGAACGAUGACUCAGAAAACAUCUAGGGUUUUCAUUAAAACCACAAAUGCGUGUAUUAGCUAAGUUAUUUACAACUGGAAGUAAGCAGCCAGACACCAUGUAUACAAGUAUCUAAUCACCUAGUAAAGAAAGAAUUUUAGGUUACCAAGCAGUUAGAGCUAGGGUAUUUAGGUACAAGCAAAUAAUUUCAGUUUAGGAUGAGGUCAGUUGUCUCCACUGAUUUCUCUGGCAUUGACUAGAAGGUAUCUGUAAUGUUCAAAAGGCUGCUGACAACAUCAAUCAAAACCUAUUAUGUGACACGUUAUUUGCUUGGAGAUCUGCUGUAUUAAGAUGCCAUGUGGUUGGAAUCAGAUAAUUUUAAUUGUUAUCACAUGUAAUUGUCAGCCACAUAAUUGUGUCUUACCGAUCUUUAACAGUGUUUGUUUUUCAGACUUCUUUCCUGAGGCCCAAGCUCUUUGUAGAUUACUUCAGUGGUCUUUUUAAUAUCAAAAGGAAAACUAAAGUUUUCAGAGACCGGACAUCGCAGUGAUCCUACAUCUAAACAAUGCUGCCAUGGAAAAUGACCAGAAAUCUACUAUCUGAGAAAACCCAUCCAUCAUCUUCAGGCAAUCUUCCAAUUUGUUAACUUUAGCUGCUACUAAUAAGUGUCUCAGUCCAGGAAAAGCAAUUAUUACGAUGUUUCACAGAAUAGCUUCCAGAUAGCACAUGAUGUAAACUGCUCUUGGGCAGCAUUUUUUCAAAGGAAACGGGUUUUUUAUUUUUUUCUUCAGUAAGCAACUUUACCAAUUCAAAUGUGACAGAAACAGAGGUAAAGAGGAAGAGCUGUUGGAAAUGGGAGUUGGCCAUAGCUACUGUGCCCAUUUACACCAUCCAAAGACUUGGAUCAUGGUGCUUUGUAAAGCCUUUGUUAUGGGUUUGAUCAGCGUGCAGACUCAGUAAGGAGUGAUUGAGAUACAGUCACUAAUGUGUUACAUCUCAUAGAGCCAAAUCAGGCAACCUGGUUUGACUGCAGGUUCACAUCCAGAGAGUGAUAAUCUCACCUACUAUCUAGCAUACAUAACCAGGAAUGAAAAACAAGCCAAGCUCAGUGUGCUAGCAUCUCUAUUUUGAUUCUUGCUAUUUUGAGGCCCUUAAUGAAAAUGCAACAUCAUUGCAGGCUGCUGCUUGCAGUCAGUACCCUGAUCAGUAUGCUUGCACGUGGCAGUCAUUUGCAUUUUUCUCAGUACCGUCUCCAGAGCACAGGGACAAGCUGCCACGCCAGGGGAAGGUGCCACUGGUAAGCAUCACUGUGAAGGUGUUCACUAGCCUGGAGAGACGAGGCUUCUCCAAGGUAAUCAUGGACCAUUAUUUGGUGGCUUAGGUGGAUAUCCUGCCGGAGGAUGAACUCAGCUGAGCUCCCAGUACAGAGAGCUUCCUAUUAGAAAAGGGGAAACCAAAGCAGGAGAGGGUCAAAGAAGCAGCGCAUGGUUUAUCUAUGAUUACCUUCACUGUAGCCUGAUUUCUGUAACACGGGACCUCUGUCAAGGGAUUGGGGAGGGAAAUUUGACAACUCCUCUAUGAUGACAAACAUACACUAGCAAAACUCUACUUUAUGAUCUUAUAGUCAAUGCAUUUAGGAUCAGUCAGAUAAUCAUAUGGUGGCAUCUCACUAAGCCUCUCUGAUUAGUUUGAGGGACUGGUUUGAAAGUUUCUCAUGGCUCAUUCCUGGCUGUUCUUCACAUGUCCUUUAAAACAGAUGUUAGCUUGUGACUAGUUUUCAGUCUGCCUCUGCUAGUCUCCUUGAUCUUGAAGGCUGUUGAUAGGAGACAACAUUCAGCAUUUUUCCAGACACCCAUCAACCUCAUCAGACUGAAUGACUUGUCUUUUCAAUCCUCCUUCUGUAGUGUAUUAUAAAUUGUUUUGGUGUGCUUGGAUUUCUUGUUGAGGACUUGCUUUCUAAUUCUUGAAGAAUUGGAUGCUAAGAGGAAAGCAUGAUCUAGAUUCCUUCUGAAAAUUUCAGAUUAAUGCGCUAGAUCAUUCUGCACAAUUGCUAAUCCAAACCCAUUUACUUUGUAAGCAAAAGUUUGGUCUUGAGUACCAUCAUUAAGUUGUUUGCUAGGAGAAACGAGUCCAAUGGGAUCAUGGUACAUGUAGAAUCUUUGUUUUGCAAUUGGUUCUUUUCAUGACUAAAUUAAUCAGACACAUAUACUAGAACGUUAGAAACCAUAAUUUGCCUGGCUUAAAAGGAGCUGUUCAGCACAUCAAGAUGUUUAUUUAAUUCAUCAAAGCUGUUUUGGCCUGCAGAAAUGCAUACAUACAAACAUAUAUAUAUUCUUAAAAUAUUUUUAAGCAUUCAGUCAUGUAUAUAUAUGUGUAUAUGUAUAUAUAUACAUUUCUCCUGUAUAUUUUUGAUUCAAUUUGAAAAUUAAUUUUUCCUUAUAAAUAUGUAAAAUUCCUUCUUAUAUAUGCAACCACAUACAUGUGCGUGUGCUCAUCAUCAAUAUGUUGUCCUGCCUUUAAUUGUUGAAGACUGAGAGAUGUCAGCAAACAAUUUGGUUUUGACAUCUAAGAAAAGGGUAAGAAUACAUUGCUGAAAGGUCAGCAGUUGAUUGGCCCCUUGGACAUUCUUGGCCCCUUGAACACCCUGCAAAUAAAUGCCUGAAAGGCUGAUUUUGCCAUAAGCCGUGGGAGCUGAUCAGAGUUCAGUUAUAGGAAAGUCUAUAUUCUUCAUACAAUUCCUAGGUGGUUUAAAAUAUUCACCAACUUAGUUAAAUGUCUUUUGUUCUCCUGGGCAGUAGUUCUACUGUGAGACGGAAAGUGUUAAAAUACUUUCCCUGGGAUAGGGAUAAUGAGAGCUUCUGCCUUGCCUUUUUUUUUUUUUUUUUGCUUCAUGGGAAAUGUUUUUGGGCAUUAGUUAUGUAACAGGAAAUAUUUAAUGGUACCUUUUUGAUUCCUGACAGCAUUAUGCUAUCUGUAAUGACGAGAAAGGUGAAAAUAAAAAUGACAUUUCCUAUUUGGCAGAUGUUCUGUAGCACUAACAGAAAGUCCAACAGUCAGACAAUUUCAAGAAUAAAGAUUAUUAUAGGCCCAGUGAACUGAAAAAAUGCUACUUCUCUCUGUAUGUUUUAGCAGAAGAUUCUUUUUAAUUAAAUAGGUAAACUAAGAUAUCAAAUUUAAAGUCAUCUUUGCCAUCAAUUCGAAACUAGAAAUCAUCACUUCUUUCCUAGAAACACUCAUUUUCACUGAGAGUGACUCUGGCCUUUCUGGUGUCACUCUGGUAUGUUAUUUCACAGCAAUGUGCUCAGCCUCUAAAGCACAAACCAUUAAUGCGUAUAUUUCCUUUUCAUCCAGAUAUUCAUUUUCUUGUAUAAGACAGUCUUGUUCCCUAAAUCUUUCCAGACCUAUCACUUAGUUUAUGUGCACAACAGGUCUUUGACGGUUCUGUGUUUCUUCCUGAAGCAAAAAGUCAGAGGAAAUAAAAAUGAAUUCUUAUGUCUAAGUAUUUGAAAAUUACUGUGGUCUAGAUGCCACUAAAGCACAAAUGUACCAGCACAUAUUUAAAAAAAAUCGCUAGAUUCAGAAUAUAACAUUCCAGACACACCAUAUUGUAUUCAAAUUCAUACAACCCUUUUGUCUGAGUAAUUUACUCUCCUGAGAGGUAAGGGAAAAUGGGUGACAUUUUUUCAGUUCUGUACUUUGCAACUUAUUGAGGUCCUCAAAUUCAUGUUUCCUUACAUUCUUUCUUUGUACUCAUUGUGUUUGUCAGAAAAGAUGUAUGAAUGAGAAUAUAUUUGAAAUCUGCAUUGCUUUUGGGGCUUGGUUCAAACAGGAUUAGCAGCCAUAGAAGGGUCUCACCAAAGGUUUUCAUGACUUCUAGUCACAUCAUUAAUGAAGACCUUUUGAGCAUUUUGGUCUUCUUCCUUCCAUAUGAAGAGAAAUAGCGAUUCUGCCUUUGAAAAACAUUUUGAAAUUGCCAGAGAUGCAGAUAUUAAUCACUGUUAUACCUGUUUACAAGCAGUGAGAAAGACUAUGUUUAACAGAAAGACCACAUUUUAUUAUAUUUACAACAAUAGAACUGGAAUAUAACCUUUUUAUUUAAAAAUCAAGCCACAGAUUAAGUUUUGAUUGCAGUAUUUUGUACUGAAAAUAAGAAUAAUGAAAGCAAUUAAGUAUUCAUAGUCCUGCUCUCACACAAACACCUUCCAUGGUGAGCCUGUUUAUGCAACCAAGUGUGCCAUACAAUUGCUUUUAUUACCUCCUUAUAAAACAGCCUGUAUAAAACACUUUUUUUUGAUUGUUUCUUUGUGUAUUGUUGAGUAUGUUUGCAUUCUAAAGGGCUUUGCCUCAUUAAAGUAAUUACCAUAAA